rnacentral:lncRNA from 1 species
UAUAGAGGCAGCAAGCCUUGCAGCAGUGAACUGGUGGGCUCCGCCCAGUUCAAGCUUCCUGGAUGCUUUAUUUACCUACUCAAGCCUCAGCAAUGGCGGAUGCCCCUCCCCAUGCCGGGCUGCUGCCUCGCAGGUUGAUCUCAGACUGCUGCACUAGCAGUGAGCAAGGCCCCAUGGGUGUGGGACCUGCCGAGCCAGGCACAGGAUAUAAUCUCCUGAUGUGCUGUUUGCUAAGACUGUUGGAAAAGUGCAGUAUUUGAGCAGGAGUGUACUGUUUUUCAGGUACAGUCUGUCACGGCUGCAUUUCACGUCUGUGUCAGAAACACUAACUAAUAGGAGCAAUUGUCACCCUGAAAAGUAUGUGGUGCAGUGGUUAGAACCUGGACUGCAAACAGAAGAAAGUGGGGUAUCUAUUUCCAUCAAGCUGCUAUUAACUCUGAUUUUGCCCAGUUCAAGUAGAUGUACAAUACUUUGUUCUUAUGCAGGGAGGCUGGGGAGAAUCCUGUCAGGCAGAGCUUAAACAACCUCUCCAUCCAACCAAGGCAGAUUGUCCUUCCUAGAAAAUCAUCCACCUACACUGACCUAUCAAAAACUCCCUUAGCACACCCACUACCAAAUAUGGCACCCAAAUGAAUUUAGUCAUCUCUCAGAAGAAAUGAAUCAAGUGAACCUUCACUAAUCCAGUCAAUUUAAUUCCCCCUUAAUGGGAAUUAAAUUAAGAACUGAAUAAUGCAUGAUGACAUUUCUGCUUUCUAGUCUUAUAUAGAAAUUAUUCCUCUAGCUUUAAAUCAUGGUUAUCUCUGAUAGAGGAAAUGAACAAUUGAUCAAGUAAUAGGAGUGCCAUGUUGUAGGAAGUGAAGGAGUAGAAAAACUAGAGUGAGAAGUAGGUGAUAGAAUAAGUAAAUAAUGAGCUUGAGACUCUUUGAUAAGCCAGACAGGGAUGCUGGGCUGGGCAGGAGAGCUAUUUGUUUUGGAAAUUACUUAGCUGAUCAUUUCAGGAGUUACAUGAACCUGGGACACAGUAAACACUAAAUUUCAUAGAAUGUCCUGCCUGGAAGAAAUCUGUAAUUUCAUUUAGCCAAACUUCCCAAGAGAUGCCUGAAAGCCUUCUAUAGACUCAAUUUGCUAGAAAAUGUUUCUGAUUUUAAGCAUUCUAUUAACACGAAACCCCAGCAAAUAUUUAAAAAAUAACUCCCAUGUGUUGCAGUUCUGAUUAUUACUUCAUAGCCGUAAGAAUGGGACUUCACCUUUAUGAUCCUUUGCUUACAAUGUAUGUGACCUUGGGCCAGUCAUUUCACCUCUCUGGACAUUAGUUUCUUUAUGUAUAAAUAACAACUCCAGCCCUGCCUUGCCUGCCUGCCACUCAGGGUAAAUAAUGGGCUAAAGAAGGUAAUAUUCAACCUGAGCAAUAUCAUGAGAUCCUGUCUCUACAAAAAAAAAAAAAAAAGAAAAAAAAAGCCAGGGCUGGUGGUGCCGGCCUCUAAUCUCAGCUACUCAGGAGGCUGAGGUGGGAGGAUCCCUUAUCCCAGCACUUUUGGAGGCAGAGAUGGGAGGAUC